UAGGACCUGCUUGUGCUCGUGAGGAGAGGCACGCCAUGGAGCAGCUCGUCAAGGACAGAUAUGCAUCCAUGGUGAAGUUACUAUAUAAGUAUAGGGUCAAGCACUGCCCCGACAUACAUCCUAUUUUGAGUUUUUCCUCAAAGUCCCAUGGCCGUGUUGCUGGUAGAGUUGGAAGCACCGCCCUUGAUUUUGAAAUUGGAGAAGGAAGACGGAGAGUUCAGUACAGUAAGGAUGCUCUAUAAUAUAGGAAUCCAGCUGAAUAUUCUUGCUUCUAAGGUCUCCUGUGUUGGAUGUGUUCUCAGUUUGCCUCUUUAUUUCCCUCUUUAUUUCUCCUUUUGCCUCUGCACUACUGCCAAAACUUCAUUUAUUUAUCUCCUUGAGUGAAAUAAUAAUAGAAGAUAGUAUUAACUACUGAUUCCAGCAGUAAUGGGUAUGAAGCAAAUGGCUCUUGCAUAUGUUCACUGUUUAUCCAAUACAGAAACCAGAAUAUGAAUUGUUAUGAGAAAAUUGCAGUUGAUUCUAUUUGAUAACAUGC